AAAAGACCUAUAAGAUGGGUAUGGCAGAAAACAAUAAUAAGAUGGAGGAUGGAACACUAGAAAUUUGCAUGGAACAUAGAACUAUUUCGGAGUUGAUGGGCCAUUGGUAAUCCUUGAUAAAGUGAAGGCAAGUUCUGUUUCUCUCACUCAUUAUCUAGUAACCUAUGUUGCUUUGAAUCUUCACUUCGUGAAGUAUCUGGGUUUGGUACCUGUAUCCAAAGCAUAUAUAGACAUAGGAAUGU